GACGAACGCUGGCGGCGUGCUUAACACAUGCAAGUCGAACGGAAAGGCCCUGCUUUUGUGGGGUGCUCGAGUGGCGAACGGGUGAGUAACACGUGAGUAACCUGCCCUUGACUUUGGGAUAACUUCAGGAAACUGGGGCUAAUACCGGAUAGGAGCUCCUGCUGCAUGGUGGGGGUUGGAAAGUUUCGGCGGUUGGGGAUGGACUCGCGGCUUAUCAGCUUGUUGGUGGGGUAGUGGCUUACCAAGGCUUUGACGGGUAGCCGGCCUGAGAGGGUGACCGGCCACAUUGGGACUGAGAUACGGCCCAGACUCCUACGGGAGGCAGCAGUGGGGAAUAUUGCACAAUGGACGGAAGCCUGAUGCAGCAACGCCGCGUGCGGGAUGACGGCCUUCGAGUUGUAAACCGCUUUCGCCUGUGACGAAGCGUGAGUGACGGUAAUGGGUAAAGAAGCACCGGCUAACUACGUG
rnacentral:rRNA from 1 species